UAUUGUGUGAAUGGUGGCUUUC
rnacentral:piRNA from 1 species